UCAAAAUAUAAAAAUAAAAAUAAAAUAAUAAUAAUCUGCAGUGUCAUAUCCUCCUCUGAUUUUGUAGGCCCAAGGCAUUGCUCAUGAGAACCUCAUUCCUCUGGAAACCCUAGGUAAGUGCGAGUUUGGCAGCAAGCCGCCUGUGUCUUGCAGGCUUGUGACAUCACGGGAGGACUGUACCUGAAGGUGCCUCAGAUGCCUUCUCUUCUGCAGUAUUUGCUGUGGGUGUUUCUUCCCGAUCAAGAUCAGAGAUCUCAGUUAAUCCUCCCACCCCCAGUUCAUGUUGACUACAGGGCUGCUUGCUUCUGUCAUCGAAAUCUCAUUGAAAUUGGUUAUGUCUGUUCUGUGUGUUUGUCAAUAUUCUGCAAUUUCAGCCCCAUUUGUACUACGUGCGAGACAGCCUUUAAAAUUUCUCUGCCUCCAGUGCUGAAAGCCAAGAAAAAGAAACUGAAAGUGUCUGCCUGAGGAUAAAAUAUUUUCCCCAUCUUUUAGAGCUGUUAAUAGAAAUUAUAUAGCAGAUUCUUUGUUGGGAAGACUGAAAAAAAUAAAGAUAGGUAUAGGAUAAUUUUUAAUAUGGUGACCUUACAGAAAAUAUUUCCCAAACAUCCUUUUCAUCCUGUGCUUCUGGAGGACUGAUUUGUUUGAGGGAAUCAUUCUAUGCAUUAUAUCCUAAAAUAUUCUAUGACUGGUUUCUGUCCAUGUUUGUGGCUUUCAUUUUUUUAAUGGGAUGACUAUUAGUCAAAGUCAGCUUGUCAUGACUCAUCAUAGGCUUUCUAACCUACUCCCUGAAUCCGGGUCCUCAUUGUGAAAUGCAUGCCAUACGAAAUUUGAACGUAGCUUUGGAAAAAGGGACUAUUU
rnacentral:lncRNA from 1 species